rfam:Triticum aestivum genome assembly, contig: Triticum_aestivum_CS42_TGACv1_scaffold_320624_4BL
GCCGAGAAGUAGAAGAAAAGAGGGCACAAGAGCAGUGGGAGUGGGAACAUGGAGGAAAGCCAACUUAAUUUGUUUUCACCUCUAGUGUUGAAGGUGAGAACUUGCUUUGGUGUUUCCCGAUGCCUCCCAUUCCUAUUGUUCUUGAGCACUCCUUCCUCUUCCUUUUAUGG